rnacentral:rRNA from 1 species
UGGGGAAUAUUGCACAAUGGGCGCAAGCCUGAUGCAGCCAUGCCGCGUGUGUGAAGAAGGCCUUCGGGUUGUAAAGCACUUUCAGCGAGGAGGAAGGGUAGUGUGUUAAUAGCACAUUGCAUUGACGUUACUCGCAGAAGAAGCACCGGCUAACUCCGUGCCAGCAGCCGCGGUAAUACGGAGGGUGCAAGCGUUAAUCGGAAUUACUGGGCGUAAAGCGCACGCAGGCGGUGUGUUAAGUCAGAUGGGAAAUCCCCGCGCUUAACGUGGGAACUGCAUUUGAAACUGGCAAGCUAGAGUCUUGUAGAGGGGGGUAGAAUUCCAGGUGUAGCGGUGAAAUGCGUAGAGAUCUGGAGGAAUACCGGUGGCGAAGGCGGCCCCCUGGACAAAGACUGACGCUCAGGUGCGAAAGCGUGGGGAGCAAACA